GCAAGUCGAACGGGGUGCUUCGGCACCUAGUGGCGGACGGGUGAGUAACGCGUGAGAAUCUGCCCUUAGGACGGGGACAACAGCUGGAAACGGCUGCUAAUACCCGAUGUGCCGAGAGGUGAAACAUUUAUGGCCUGAGGAUGAGCUCGCGUCUGAUUAGCUAGUUGGUGGGGUAAGAGCCUACCAAGGCGACGAUCAGUAGCUGGUCUGAGAGGAUGAUCAGCCACACUGGGACUGAGACACGGCCCAGACUCCUACGGGAGGCAGCAGUGGGGAAUUUUCCGCAAUGGGCGCAAGCCUGACGGAGCAAGACCGCGUGCGGGAGGACGGCCUAUUGGUUGUAAACCGCUUUUGAUAGGGAAGAAGCUCUGACGGUACCUAUCGAAUCAGCAUCGGCUAACUCCGUGCCAGCAGCCGCGGUAAUACGGAGGAUGCAAGCGUUAUCCGGAAUUAUUGGGCGUAAAGCGUCCGUAGGUGGUUGUUCAAGUCUGCUGUUAAAGCGUGCGGCUUAACCGCAUACCAGCAGUGGAAACUGGACGACUAGAGUGCGGUAGGGGUCAGGGGAAUUCCCAGUGUAGCGGUGAAAUGCGUAGAUAUUGGGAAGAACACCGGUGGCGAAAGCGCCUGACUGGACCUGCACUGACACUGAGGGACGAAAGCUAGGGGAGC
rnacentral:rRNA from 1 species